rnacentral:lncRNA from 1 species
GGGCCAUACCUGCAGCAUAUGCAAGUUCCCAGGCUAGGGGUUGAAUAGGCGCUACAGCUGUCAGUCUACACCACAAAUGGAUAAACACAGCAAUGCAGAUCCAAGCCUUAUCUGUGACCUACACCACAGCUCAUGAGCAAGGCCAGGAUCAAACCCACAUCUUCAUGAAUACUAGUUUGAUUCGUAACCCACUGAACACAAUGGGAACUCCCUAAAAAUAUAAUCUGAAGUUUAGUUUAUCUCAGUUCCAUCAAAAUCUUCAAGCAAAGAAAGUAUAUUUUUAAAAAAAAAUUUUUGUUCUACUUAAGCAUAAAUGCCAGCAAAAUCACCAAGUACCACUAAGCCCAAAAUCUGUAUUGAAAUACAAGUAUUUGUCAGAUAGUAUAAAAAACUAGGUCCCAGCCUUAGGAUCCAGCUGUAGCAGGUGAGACCAGAAUGCCAAAGUCACUGCCAAAAGAAGGUAUCUAUAGACUAGAGGGAAAAAAAAGCACUGAGGAUUAGUAAUUAGGCAAUUAGCUUUGCAGGAAGGGGACUUCACCUUUGGGCCCAAAUAGAUUAAGUGAAGAGCAAAGUAACAGUGGCUGCCCAUUUGUGAAUGUUGAUCACCAACUUAGGUUAGUUUAAACAAGUGAAACACUGAGUAGGUGAGGUAAAAGCUAGCAGGUUAAAAGCAGCAUCAGAGGAAAUCACAUACCAACCUGAUUCCCCCUUCUGUAGGAGGCAGGUAAGGAAUCAGUCUUUAACAAACAAUAAAAUACAGAUAAGCUAUCUGAUGAAAAGGCAUGUUGCUGUGUGUAUGAGGGUUAACUAAGUGUGAUGGAUGGAGAAUAGCAGUCUCUUCAUAAGACAAGGCCAGUGAAGGCUUCUGAUUAUAUACUGAUGGGACCAAAAGUGUAAACCACUUUAUUAAAAACUUUAGUUCAGUUGAACUUUAGUUAAAGUUCAACUAUACCACAGAAUACAAAAACAUCUUCCUUUCCCUAACUUUGAAAUGUGUCAAAGGUCAGCCCUUUUCAAUUAUGUUUUAAAAGCACGUUAAGAAGCAGAAAGACUCUAAGGACUAAUUUCCCUAAUGAGACUGUAAGUUUUCAUGACAAAGCCCAUAAUUUCCUCUCAAGCCAUCUGCCCCAAGAAGUUAUUGGGAAGAAGAGAUUGAGAUGCUUCCCCCACGAUUCUGAAAACAACUCCUAGUUGUCUCAUUCCUUAGUAAAAUCUAAAUGCCAUCCUUCCUUAAGAAAAGGGGGAAAUUAUCCUUCACUAGCAUUACCUGAAGCUUCCACAGACGUCUUCAGGUUAUUUGGAAGAUGCAGAUUAUACUGUAGGCCACAACACAUCUAGAUCGAGUGUCUAUUCAAGCUAACUACUCAAGUGGCUGUAAUAGCUGUUGUCAUU